GGUCCCGUGGCCUAAUGGAUAAGGCGUCUGACUUCUAAUCAGAAGAUUGCGGGUUCGACCCCCGCCGGGACCU
rfam:Bursaphelenchus xylophilus, Ka4C1 (inbred line), WGS project CADV01000000 data, contig: scaffold00813.4